AAGACUUUUCUGACGCUCACCUCCCCAAAGUGCAAGUGGGGAGAGAGAAAUGAGGUGGUGGCACUAUCAGCCUUUCUUCUAUUCUUAGAGUACUCAAUUAGAGGUCCAUUAAUGAAUGUGGUCAAAGCCUUAUCAGCAUUACUCCAACCAGGUGACCAUGCUCGAGCUAAAAGCGCAUUGCUUCCCUUCUCUGAUUCAUCUUCAAACACCAAUUCAUCCGAAUGGCAAGUUGUCACAUCGCCUAAAAAAGGGAGACACAAUAAGUAUGUACUACUUGAACAAGGAUAAUACGUAGUUCAAUAUAAUUUCCAGGAACAUAAAUCAAAAGGCUAAAAGGUUUCAAUUUUCAAACCAAGCCUGGCACUUAUAUUGUUGAAGCCCAACGAAGUUCCAAGAGGGGCAAUGGUUGAUAAUGGAGAUCAACAAGUGAAGAACAGAAUUCAAUGGAAACCAACCUGAAAUGAUUCUCUUAGGAGGAAGAAGUGGAGCCUCAGGGUCAUAGGGCAUGCUCAGGCAUCUUUCCCAGAAAGAAGAAAAAGUAGUGAAAGGGCGUCCUUGAGCAUCAUUUACAUCCCAGGGUUCAUAAAGUAAAUCUGCAUUGAACGAUCGAACUGCUACACCAUGGGCUGUUAAUACCUCCUUUGCCCGAUGAUCCCUAACCAGUGAUAUAGGAUCUGAAAAGUGGCAAAUUUCAACUUAACUGUUAAACAUAAGAGCCUUUUCUAGGGAAAAUAAAGAACCUGACAGUACAAAUUCGUUUAAUCAGUUAAAGACACUAAAACUUAGACACCUGUUUGAAAGAAACUACGGUCAUUAUAGCUGGAACUGGCCAAUCUUAGUAGUGUCGACAAAUUAAAGGACAAUUAAUAUGCAACCUCGAGGAAAAGAAAACUGAACACGCCUGGGAAAACUAAAAUUGCAAAAGGCCAAUCACUCAAUAAGAAAAGAAAAGCAAAAAAUGCAGGUCUGCCUAGUGGAUGACAAGAAUCCAUCUCAAUUUAUGCAAAUCUCAUAAGACUGGGUUAUUAUAUUAGAAACAGAAUAAAAAAAAGCAAAACCCUCAAGGAAGGUUAGAAGAGAAGAAUAAAUGGAAAUAAAAUAUUGCCUCAACUUGAUCCAUAUAAUCCCCACGCAACCCAACAUAAUAAAUAAAUAAGCUUUUGUUAUUAAUACCCAACAUAAUAAAUAAGAUUAAAAAAAGGAUACAUAAUCUUCCCCUUUGUUUUUCCCUCAGUUAAUCAACAAAGAGGGAGAUAGGAAAUGAAAAGAAAACUAACCAUACAAGUGAUUGAAGAAGAGCUGAGUAGCACCAGUAGAUUUAACAACCUCAAGCAGAGAGGAAACACUAUCAGAAGAUCUCUUAGCGAUGAGACAAGUACCAAGGCUCCUCAAAGAAGAAUCAAGGUGAGCCAAACUGUGCUUCAGCCACCACCUUGACACCCUUCCAGGGUAAUAAUGGCCUUCUUCUUCAGGUGCCCAUACAAAAA
rnacentral:lncRNA from 1 species